AUCCCUUGACUUUAAGAUUAUUGUCUUACUUUAUAUCGUCCUUACAUUAUAUUUUAGUUCAGUCGGCCGAUGAUUCCUACUGAGUACUCAUGUUUUGGUACUCAUACUACACUUCUGUACCUUUUUGGUGCAGACCCAAUUCUAGUUGCCAUCGUUAAGCUAGUUCAUGCGAAUUGACUAUUUGGAGAUAGAGUGAACUCUUGGAGAUCGAGUUGCCUUCUUUGCCCUCUACCCUUAUUUGUAUUUUGCUUUUGAGACAAAUGUAUGGGAUUAUUUAAGACAUUUUAGACUCUAAGAUUUUAAAUUUGUCUUAUCAUGUUUAGAAGCUCUUGUAUUAAUAUUAUCAGGUC
rnacentral:lncRNA from 1 species